AUUCCUAAUGAAUAAUGUUGAAAUUUUGUUUUCCCUUGAAAACAACGUUACCCAGGAAGAGACUGUACAAGACUGGUUUCCAAAUCAUCCAAUGGUAAUACCAUCACCAUUUAUAUUCAGUUUUAUCUUAUUUACUCAAUGAUGAAAAUUUCAAGCCAACAAACAACAUUUCACUUUCAUCUUUUAACAUGUUUAUCAUCAUCUUUAUCAGCAAUACAGAGCUCAAGGGAAGGAAUAAAAGACAAGAAUCCAACAUUCAUCUUUACAUGACAUUACUCAUUAAAAACAUAUUCUUCCAGUAUUCUCAUCAACAAAUGCAUUCAACUUUUACCCUCAUCAUCAUUCAUCCUUUGAAUAUUAUUGAAUAUUAACAUGUUCAGGCUUCAAUCAAUCUUUUUUCAUAUUUGAUCAACUAAGGAAGAUCUGCACAAUCGCCUGUUAUCGAUAUUUUGGUAAUCAAUUUUUAAACUGAAUCAAAAUUUAAUGCUGAUUAUUGAUACAACACUUCGUGAAUGAAGUAAUUGCAGAUUCAAGUUUGCCAAAAAGUGGAUUUCAUGGAAAAAUUUCAACAGGCGAUUUUCCCUAUUCAUUUGCAGAUCCUUCUUCUGAAAAAGUAAGGAAACGAAAAUAAGAAAUUCAAGAUAAAGGUUGAACAUGUUUAGUUUCAAACUUAACCAUGAAAAGAAACAGCUUUUGAAAGUUCACAAACAGAAAGCUACAAAAAACUUGGUAAAUUUUAAGAUGAAUGUUCAAGAUUUGGUUCUUGAAAAAUCACUCGAAAUAAUUUCAAUUAUUCUGUGAAUAAUGAGUUACUUGGGUUCUGGCUUUUUUAGAGUUCAAUGAUGAAUGCCUGAAUAUUUAUGCAUAAUAAUUUCUACCUCACAUUUCUAACUAAUCUUAUAUAUUAUCAUGUAAUUUACUCUCAAUUAACUGUUGAUAUUCUUGCUUUGUUUUCCUGUGAAAACAAAAGGUAAUAUUAAAAAAAUUGAAGGAAAAAAAGAUAAACUGAAAGGAAAAAAACAAAAAAGUAAAGGUUACACCUCAUUAAGCGUUUACUUAUGGUUGCCCAAAUAGCAUAUUAUAAGUAAAUAAUGUGAUAUAAUGUGAUAUACAUAUUGGUUGAACUCUGAUGAAAGUUAGAUCAGCAUUAUAGUCUGUUUUCAGAGUUUAUCAUGGAUUCUGUUGACUGUAAACAGAAAUUUUGUUUUGUAUCUUUUGAGCUUUAAAAUGUAUUCACUGGGUAAAAAUGGUAGUUGAAAUACAUUUACCGUUAAUAUUUUAUAGUAAUGAAGAAAUAAUUCACCUAUUAAAGUUUAUUUUAUGGCAUUAAUGAAAGAUUUCAAAUGUAAUAACUA